AGUGAACGCUGGCGGCGUGCCUAAUACAUGCAAGUCGAACGGAGUGGCGCACGGGUGAGUAAUGUAUAGCUAAUCUGCCCCUUGCUGGAGGAAAAUAGUUAAAAAUGUCUGCUAUUACUCCUUACCAUGGGAUGAGACUAUAUCGUAUCAGCUAGUCGGUGGGGUAACGGCCUACCGAGGCUAUGACCCGUAACUGGUCUGAGAGGAUGAUCAGUCACAUUGGAACUGAGACACCGGCCAAACUCCUACGGGAGGGAGCAGUAGGGAAUAGUGCGCAAUGGGGGAAAGCCUGACGCAGCAUCGCGGCGUGGAGGAUGACACUUUUCGGAGCGUAAACUCCGUUUGUUAGGGAAGCGGUACCUAACGAAUAAGCACUGGCUAACUCCGUGCCAGCAGCCGCGGUAAUUC
rnacentral:rRNA from 1 species